AAAAAAAUACACUUUAAGGGUUUAGUCUUAUGUUUGUGUGCUUUGUGAUUUUGAUGCAGGGCUUUGUAGAUACAGAGUUGGUGAUUUGUUGAGAGUGACUGGAUUCAAGAACAAGGCACCUCAAUUUAGUUUCAUAUGCCGCAAGAAUGUGGUCUUAAGCAUAGAUUCCGACAAGACCGAUGAAGUUGAGCUUCAGAACGCGGUAAAGAACGCAAUGACACAUCUUGUCCCAUUUGAUGCCUCACUCUCUGAGUAUACUAGCUAUGCGGAUACAAGUUCUAUCCCUGGCCAUUACGUCCUGUUCUGGGAGCUAUGUUUGGAUGGAAACACACCGAUCCCUCCUUCUGUCUUUGAGGAUUGCUGCCUAGCCGUGGAAGAGUCGUUCAACUCUGUUUAUAGACAAGGAAGGGUUAGUGACAAGUCCAUAGGCCCACUCGAGAUCAAGAUUGUUGAGCCGGGGUUGCCUAGUUUCACCUUCCUUUCAUUCUCCUCCUCUAUAUAUAUCAACACUUCUCUUUCCUUCUUCCUCACACACUAAAAGCUCCUAACAAACAUAAGCUUAUCUCCUUCUCACCCAUCUCAAAAUUGUGCCAGCUUCUCUCUGAAACCAAACCAUGCCUGAGGCACCAAAGUAUGAAUCUUUAGAUGCUUUCGAUCUGACCCUCGACGAGAAGAACAAGAGGAAACUUCAGUUAAUCGAGGAACUGACCUCAAACGCCGACCAAGUCCAGAAACGUGUCUUGGAGGAGAUCUUGACCCGUAAUGCUGACGUGGAGUAUCUCAGGCGUCAUGACCUCAACGGUCGCACAGACCGAGAGACGUUCAAGAACGUGAUGCCUGUUAUAACCUAUGAGGAUAUCCAGCCUGAGAUCAACAGGAUUGCUAACGGUGAUAAAUCUCCUAUCCUCUCUUCAAAGCCUAUCUCCGAGUUCCUCACCAGGUUCGUUAUUAACAUCCUCUCUUCUUCUUCUUCUUCUUCUUCUUCUUCUUCUUCAAAAUGCUCUGUUUUGCUCUGUUUUUGCUCUGUUUUGCUCUGUUUUACUCUGUUUUUCAAGAACCUAACGAAGCUUUCUAUAUGUUCUUUGACAGCUCUGGGACAUCUGGUGGGCAGAGGAAGCUAAUGCCGACAAUCGAAGAAGAACUAGACCGGAGAUCACUUCUCUACAGUUUCUUGAUGCCUGUGAUGAGCCAGUUCGUUCCUGGUCUCGACAAAGGCAAAGGAAUGUAUUUCUUGUUCAUCAAGUCUGAAUCCAAGACGCCAGGAGGCCUCCCUGCUCGUCCCGUCUUAACCAGUUACUACAAAUCUUCCCAUUUCAAAGAAAGACCCUUUGACCCUUACACCGACUACACAAGCCCCAACGAGACCAUCCUUUGCCCUGACUCUUACCAGAGCAUGUACUCUCAGAUGCUUUGUGGCUUAUGCCAACACCAGGAGGUUCUUCGAGUCGGUGCCGUUUUCGCCUCUGGUUUCAUCAGAGCUAUCAAGUUUCUUGAGAAGCACUGGAUCGAGCUGGUCCGUGACAUCAGAACCGGUACCUUAAGCUCCCUGAUCACUGAUCCUUCAGUGCGUGAGGCGGUCGCCAAGAUCCUUAAACCUAGUCCAAAACUCGCGGAUUUCGUGGAGUUCGAGUGUAAGAAGAAGUCUUGGCAAGGGAUCAUCACUAGGUUGUGGCCUAACACGAAGUAUGUGGAUGUGAUUGUGACAGGGACGAUGUCUCAGUACAUUCCAACUUUGGAUUACUACAGCAAUGGCUUGCCUCUUGUCUGCACAAUGUAUGCUUCUUCCGAAUGUUACUUUGGUGUGAACCUAAGGCCACUAUGCAAACCUAGCGAGGUCUCUUACACGCUCAUACCAACCAUGGCUUAUUUCGAGUUCUUGCCUGUUCAUAGAAACACAGGUGUUACUAACUCCAUCAAUCUACCUAAAGCACUCACGGAGAAAGAGCAACAAGAGCUUGUUGAUCUUGUUGAUGUUAAACUUGGUCAGGAGUACGAGCUUGUUGUCACCACUUAUGCCGGUAAGAAAAUAAAACAUAUUCUAUAAUAGCACAUAAUUAUUUUCAAAAAUAGUAUAAAAAUUAUAUUUAGAUUUUUGGGUUUAGUGAUUAUGGUUUACUAGUAUCGACUAGGUGGAGGUUAGGGUAAAAUUUAGAAUUCAGAGUAAUUUAGCUUUUCUUUUUUUGGCUAUUUUAGUGAUUUUUCUAUUGUAUGCUAUUUUUGACAUGGUAUAAAUUAUGAUAAGAGAUUUGCCCUAAGAAAAUAGAGAAUUUCUAUUAAUUUAUAACAAAAAAAAAAUACACUUUAAGGGUUUAGUCUUAUGUUUGUGUGCUUUGUGAUUUUGAUGCAGGGCUUUGUAGAUACAGAGUUGGUGAUUUGUUGAGAGUGACUGGAUUCAAGAACAAGGCACCUCAAUUUAGUUUCAUAUGCCGCAAGAAUGUGGUCUUAAGCAUAGAUUCCGACAAGACCGAUGAAGUUGAGCUUCAGAACGCGGUAAAGAACGCAAUGACACAUCUUGUCCCAUUUGAUGCCUCACUCUCUGAGUAUACUA
rnacentral:lncRNA from 1 species